rnacentral:lncRNA from 1 species
GCGUAAUACACAUUUCAUUCCCACACUUUUUUUUCUCCAAAAUUUUCUCUCCACUUUCACAAGCCGCGCCAUAACACCCCACUCCUUCUUUCAAUAUUUCAUCCCAUCAAAAAAUUUCAAAAUCAGUUUCGUCUUUCUUCCCCAAAGUCAUGGCUUUCUUCAGAAAACUUAAUUGCAUCUUUCUUCCCUAAACCCUAAUCCCCAAAUUAGUUUGUUACCAUCCUCUGUUGUAAGCUUUCUCAAUCAGUUUGAAUUCUCCAUACACACAAUCUACUGUGCUUUUUGUCCCUCACGAUUUGAAGAUGUGAAGUCUGCAAUUGGGGUUCGAUUAAAAGCUUUCUCGCUUUCUCCUUUGUCAAUUUUUGGUUUUGGUAAGCUUUCUCCUUUCUCCUGUAAUUUGUUUUUUUUAUUAUUAUUAGUUUUUUAGCGUACAAGGUUGGUGAAUUUUGAUAUUUCAUACUAUUUGUUUAUUAUAAUAAAAUGAUCUGUAUCGUGGAUUGAAAUGUUGCAAUAUGUACUUGGCAUGAAUGAAGAGAAACUUGAGCCAUUUUAGAUUUACUUAUUUAAGUUUUUUUAUUGACAUAAACUUUGUGAGAUUAUGA